CGGUUGAUCCCGCCGGACCCGACUGCUAUUUGGGUGAGGAUAAGCCAUGCGAGUUGAAUGGGAUACCUAAAGUUCCCAUAGCAAACUGCUCAGUAACACAUGAUCAACUUACCCUAUAGAGAAAAAUAACCUCGGGAAACUGAGGAUAAUGUUUCAUAACUGAAUUGGCUUGGAAAAGUUUUUCAGUGAAAGGGAUAAAAUAAAUGGUUUUUAUCUGCUAUAGGAUAGGAUCGUGUUCGAUUAUGGUUGUUGGUGAGGUAAUGGCUCACCAAGCCGAUAAUCGAUAGGGGCCGUGAGAGCGGGAGCCCCGAGAUGGGUACUGAGACAACGACCCAGGCCUUACGAGGCGCAGCAGGCGCGAAACCUCCGCAAUACACGAAAGUGUGACGGGGUUACCCAAAGUGUUCAAUUUUGAACUGUGGUAGGUGAGUAAUGUUCCCUACUAGAAAGGAGAGGGCAAGGCUGGUGCCAGCCGCCGCGGUAAAACCAGCUCUUCAAGUGGUCGGGAUAAUUAUUGGGCUUAAAGUGUCCGUAGCCGGUUUAGUAAGUUCCUGGUAAAAUCGGGUAGCUUAACUAUCUAUAUGCUAGGAAUACUGCUAUACUAGAGGGCGGGAGAGGUCUGAGGUACUACAGGGGUAGGGGUGAAAUCUUAUAAUCCUUGUAGGACCACCAGUGGCGAAGGCGUCAGACUGGAACGCGCCUGACGGUGAGGGACGAAAGCCAGGGGAGCGAACCGGAUUAGAUACCCGGGUAGUCCUGGCCGUAAACGAUGCAUACUAGGUGAUGGCACGGCCAUGAGCCGUGUCAGUGCCGUAGGGAAACCGUUAAGUGUGCCGCCUGGGAAGUACGGUCGCAAGGCUAAAACUUAAAGGAAUUGGCGGGGGAGCACCACAAAGGGUGAAGCCUGCGGUUCAAUUGGAUUCAACGCCGGAAAUCACUAGUGCGGCCGC
rnacentral:rRNA from 1 species